AAUGAAGUGCCUGAAAAAGGAUUAUCUUGAUAGGAUAAAUCAUACACAAAUAAUUGUGUCUUCAUUA
rnacentral:tRNA from 2 species